rnacentral:lncRNA from 1 species
CGGCCCACCGCACCCCGCCUGUGGCCUUUGCCAACCAGAACUGUCGAGCUGGGCUGACUCCUGCACGGGGGAGCCCCUCAUCCUCAUCUGGCGGGGCCCCCGACCUCAGCCUCCCAGCCUGACUCACACAGACACAAGUCACCCAGCUGUGGGCAGUAUCCUCCAAACAGCGGAGGGCCCCUGCCCGUCACCCUCCUUCUGUCUGUCUUUCCUGGCCUCUGACCCCACCCUGCACACUCUCUGGCCACCACAGGACCUCCCAGCUUUGUCACUCUGCUCAACGCCUGGGCCCUCUGGGCACUCAGAAAUCAAGUGUCCAGAUGGCGCAGGCCAGUAAGCACCGAGCUCAGGGGACACCCCAGAGCAGAAGCUAAGACAGCACCAGCACCACGGGAACCUCAGCUUCGGGGCGCCGCCUUCUCCUGGCCGGUGCUGUGCGGCCGGCUGGCACUCUUGGNNNNNNNNNNNNNNNNNNNNNNNNNNNNNNNNNNCUCCCUCCUGCUGGUGGAGAGCCCCAGCCUCAGGAGCCUCCGGCAGCGGCAACAGACCUGGCGUCCUGGUGCCUCCUGGCCCCUCAGCACCAGUGAUUCACCCCAGCCUGGAAAAGGAUCGGCUGGGCUCGAUGACUCACCCGCGGACGGCGGAGGGUCCCACUGGGCCUGAGUCCUCAAACUCAGCUGAGGAGCCAGGAGAGUGACGACAGGUCUCAGGGCUCCUACGGAGCCUUCGCCACUAUGCCCGGCACUGCCCCUCCUUCUCCUCCUGCCAGCUGCCCGCACACGAGGAGACACAGAGGUCCGCAGAGGAGCCGCAGACAGGGCGGGCCCAGCAGAAAGCUGGUGAUGAACACGGGCCAG